CGCUGGCGGCGUGCCUAAUACAUGCAAGUCGAACGGUCUUUUCUAUGGAAGCUUGCUUCCACUGAGAAGAUAGUGGCGAACGGGUGAGUAACACGUGGGUAACCUGCCCAUAAGAGGGGGAUAACAUCCGGAAACGGGUGCUAAUACCGCAUAGUUUUCUUGAUCGCAUGAUCGGGAAAGGAAAGACGGCCUUUGUGCUGUCGCUUAUGGAUGGACCCGCGGCGUAUUAGUUAGUUGGUGAGGUAACGGCUCACCAAGACGAUGAUACGUAGCCGACCUGAGAGGGUGAUCGGCCACAUUGGGACUGAGACACGGCCCAAACUCCUACGGGAGGCAGCAGUAGGGAAUCUUCCGCAAUGGACGAAAGUCUGACGGAGCAACGCCGCGUGAGUGAAGAAGGUUUUCGGAUCGUAAAACUCUGUUGUCAGAGAAGAACAAGUUGGAGAGUAACUGCUCCAGCCUUGACGGUAUCUGACCAGAAAGCCACGGCUAACUACGUGCCAGCAGCCGCGGUAAUACGUAGGUGGCAAGCGUUGUCCGGAUUUAUUGGGCGUAAAGCGAGCGCAGGCGGUUCCUUAAGUCUGAUGUGAAAGCCCACGGCUCAACCGUGGAAGGUCAUUGGAAACUGGGGAACUUGAGUGCAGAAGAGGAGAGUGGAAUUCCAUGUGUAGCGGUGAAAUGCGUAGAUAUAUGGAGGAACACCAGUGGCGAAGGCGACUCUCUGGUCUGUAACUGACGCUGAGGCUCGAAAGCGUGGGGAGCAAACAGGAUUAGAUACCCUGGUAGUCC
rnacentral:rRNA from 1 species